AUGUAUCAUACCAAUGCUCUGUGGUUGUGCUGGAGGGGUUGGCUUAACUAUUUUUACCUAAAAAAAGGAAGAUUCCUGAUAAAUAACAUAUCACACAUGUGCAGAUUGGAGCAUACACAUUGCUUGAAUGGGAACAUACUUACAUGUGAGCGAGGCCAAGCAAUAACAGAACCCAUAGCAUCCCUUACUGUUUGGAUUUUUUCAUAUGGUCUAACUAGUUUCUCAUCUCCUAGAUAUGUACAGCCGCGAACACGAACUGCAACGUAUUGCACUCCAAGCAUGUUUCCUCCAACCACAUAUGUUUUCUCUUUACUCUCUAAAGUUCCUUUGGCCACAAGUUUGUCUUUGUUUCUCAAGUUCAUCGAAUACAACACGACUUCAACUUUAUCCUAUUUUUCAAGAAAUGGAACAUUUGUUAUUGAUGAACCUGAGAAGAUUUCAUUUUACACAAAUAAGAACAAUUUCACAAAUAAUUAG
rnacentral:rRNA from 1 species